rnacentral:rRNA from 1 species
UAGAGUUUGAUCCUGGCUCAGAACGAACGCUGGCGGCAGGCUUAACACAUGCAAGUCGAGCGCCCCGCAAGGGGAGCGGCAGACGGGUGAGUAACACGUGGGAACGUACCCUUUACUACGGAAUAACGCAGGGAAACUUGUGCUAAUACCGUAUGUGCCCUUCGGGGGAAAGAUUUAUCGGUAAGGGAUCGGCCCGCGUUGGAUUAGCUAGUUGGUGGGGUAAAGGCCUACCAAGGCGACGAUCCAUAGCUGGUCUGAGAGGAUGAUCAGCCACAUUGGGACUGAGACACGGCCCAAACUCCUACGGGAGGCAGCAGUGGGGAAUAUUGGACAAUGGGCGCAAGCCUGAU